AACAGGAUUAGAUACCCUGGUAGUCCACGCUGUAAACGAUGUCGACUUGGAGGUUGUGCCCUUGAGGCGUGGCUUCCGGAGCUAACGCGUUAAGUCGACCGCCUGGGGAGUACGGCCGCAAGGUUAAAACUCAAAUGAAUUGACGGGGGCCCGCACAAGCGGUGGAGCAUGUGGUUUAAUUCGAUGCAACGCGAAGAACCUUACCUACUCUUGACAUCCAGAGAAUUUGCUAGAGAUAGCUUAGUGCCUUCGGGAACUCUGAGACAGGUGCUGCAUGGCUGUCGUCAGCUCGUGUUGUGAAAUGUUGGGUUAAGUCCCGCAACGAGCGCAACCCUUAUCCUUUGUUGCCAGCACGUAAUGGUGGGAACUCAAAGGAGACUGCCGGUGAUAAACCGGAGGAAGGUGGGGAUGACGUCAAGUCAUCAUGGCCCUUACGAGUAGGGCUACACACGUGCUACAAUGGCAUAUACAAAGAGAAGCGAACUCGCGAGAGCAAGCGGACCUCAUAAAGUAUGUCGUAGUCCGGAUUGGAGUCUGCAACCCGACUCCAUGAAGUCGGAAUCGCUAGUAAUCGUAGAUCAGAAUGCUACGGUGAAUACGUUCCCGGGCCUUGUACACACCGCCCGUCACACCAUGGGAGUGGGUUGCAAAAGAAGUAGGUAGCUUAACCUUCGGGAGGGCGCUUACCACUUUGUGAUUCAUGACUGGGGUGAAGUCGUAACAAGGUAACC
rnacentral:rRNA from 1 species